rnacentral:lncRNA from 1 species
CUCCCAUUUAAGAUACCCCAUGUCACAAAAUCAUCUAGUAUCAUGCAGAAAAAAUGUCUAAAGAACCAAAACAGAUUCAAUGCAGUGACGGCAGAAAGUGUAUGGGCAUGAAGAUUCAAAGAAAAAGAUGCGGCCGUUGAAAGAUUUAUAUGCUCCUUUGCUCCAGGUACCUGAACCACUAAGGCCAGUUUCACCAAAUUCAUUUAGUCCAGAAGCACCAACACCAAGUUCAUCUGCACUCUUACCUCCUCCACCACUUCCAGAAUCAGAAGACCAAGUGUUUCCUCCUAAUGGAAAUCAAAAUGAGAAAUCUCUUGAGACCUCACUCAGAGUGCACAUCCUUACCACAGUACAAGGCUAAUGAGCUUGGAUCGAUGGUGUUCUCAGCCCAGUGGACUGAAAACAAUAGAUUGAAGAUUUGUGGCAACCCUGUGACUACCAACUCUAUUGAAACCAUUUCUCCAAUAGCAUGAGCUCACUUCAGGUGGUGCUUGUGUGUGACUUGCCUGGGAAUUAAUUGCACAAUUCCUUAAUUUACACUCAUCCUUCUAGAAGGUGGGUAUACUACUCUUGCCAUUUUACAGAAAAAAAAGAUGAUUCUCUGGUCAUUUGUGCAACUUGCUCCAGUUCAGAUUACUAAGUAAAUGCCAAAUCUAGAAUUUAGACCAAGGUCUUUUUCAAUUCUAAAUGUAUGUUCUUUCUGGCUGCUUUCUUUUGCAACUGUUUCUGUUUUUUUUUUUUUUUUUUUUUUUUCUGUUUUCUAAAGUGAAUGCAGGUAAUUAAGAAAAACUGAACAAUAAUGGCAGCAUUUAUGGAAUAAAUGCAGAGCCCUUAAAAAUGACAUUAUUAAAGAAUAUGUUCCAUUUGAAUAUACAAGUUUAUUUUAGAUUUAUUUUUAGGCAUACUUUGUCUACCUUGAAUUGUAUAGUCUCGUCAAAGAGGUCCACAUCCCAAGCUAUAUUAAUAAGCAUAUACUCUUUCUUUUCCUAAAAGCAGUUAUUUCAGCCAAAGCAGAAAGUUUUUAUUU